rnacentral:rRNA from 1 species
UUCAGACUGCAGGCUGCAACUCGCCUGCACGAAGUCGGAAUUGCUAGUAAUCGUAGGUCAGCAUACUACGGUGAAUACGUUCCCGGGCCUUGUACACACCGCCCGUCAAACCAUGAGAGUUGGCAACACCCGAAGUCGGUAGUCUAACCGCAAGGAGGACGCCGCCGAAGGUGGGGUUGAUGAUUAGGGUUAAGUCGUAACAAGGUACC